UACCCGCAAACUGUGUGCCGCCCACGUUUCGCAGCAGCGGACGCGGACGUGGGAGCAGCGUGCAGACUGAGACUCACAGGUUUUCCCUACAUGCCUGGGAUGCGGCGGUAACACGACCAACCAGGCUUCCAGAGGGCUGGGUUCUGUUUGGCGAGCUCUCCAGACACGGUUACUCGCCAGGAAGCUCCUUCUGGCUCAGCUUUCCUGUAAACAGACAUGAGGGAGGAAAUCAACGGGCUCAGGGAGGUAAAUAAAAUAAAUAAAAUGGGGGCAAUGACAUACGCACAUCUCGGGGACGUGUGGCUGUGCCUCUGUGUCAUUAGCACUGCAGCAGAAGCUUCCUCUGACCAAGGACAAAAAUCCACGUGGCAGAUCCGGGGGGCCGAGGCCUCAGACGCUGCUGACCCCCAGAAGACCCCGGAGAGACCUCCUCCUGACUGGGGCGGCUGGAGAGGUGGCAGUGGCCUGGGGUGGGCAGCCCCCAGGAGCAUCCUCCAGGCCUCAGGCCUGCUGGUCCCAGCUCGGUGUCCCCUUUACACCUAAUUAGAUUUCGUUGUAAAGAGAUAAAGGCUGUUACUUUGUAUCAGCACAUGUUCCUCUGCAGGACCGAGUUCCUGAGAGAGGAGAGACAGGCAGGGAGAUGAGGAAAAGAGCCGGCAUGGGUAGACUCCGGAAUAAGACCCUGACAGGCUCAAAUUGAUUCUGCAGCCCGGUAAAAUUGAGCGCAGAGGGAAUUGGAUUUGUGCCCUGUUAAAUGUAACUGCCUCUUGCUGUCUAUACCAGAAGCUGUUAAAAUGGUAAUCUUUA